UACAGAGGAUGCAAGUUUUAUUCGGAAUUAUUGGGCGUAAAGCGUCUGCAGGUUGAUGUAAAAGUCUUUUGUUAAAUAUCAGGGCUUAACCCAGAAUCUGCAAAAGAAACUAUAUAUCUCGAGUAUGGUAGAGGUAAGGGGAAUUUCCAGUGGAGCGGUGAAAUGCGUAGAUAUUAGAAAGAACACCGAUAGCGAAGGCACCUUACUGGGCCAUUACUGACACUCAGAGACGAAAGCUAGGGUAGCAAACGGGAUUAGAUACCCCGGUAGUCCUAGCCGUAAACGAUGGAUACUAGAUGUUGUGUAUUUAAUACAGUGUCGUAGCUAACGCGUUAAGUAUCCCGCCUGGGAAGUAUGCUCGCAAGGGUG
rnacentral:rRNA from 1 species